rnacentral:rRNA from 1 species
UACGUAGGGUGCAAGCGUUGUCCGGAAUUAUUGGGCGUAAAGAGCUCGUAGGUGGUUCGGUAAGUCGGAUGUGAAAUCUCCAGGCUCAACCUGGAGGGGUCAUUCGAUACUGCCGUGACUAGAGGUCGAUAGGGGAGUGUGGAAUUCCUGGUGGAGCGGUGAAAUGCGCAGAUAUCAGGAGGAACACCCGUAGCGAAGGCGGCACUCUGGGCCGAUACUGACACUGAGGAGCGAAAGCGUGGGGAGCGAACAGG